rnacentral:rRNA from 1 species
CCUUACCAGGUCUUGACAUCCCGAUGCUAUUCCUAGAGAUAGGAAGUUUAUUCGGAACAUCGGUGACAGGUGGUGCAUGGUUGUCGUCAGCUCGUGUCGUGAGAUGUUGGGUUAAGUCCCGCAACGAGCGCAACCCCUAUUGUUAGUUGCCAUCAUUAAGUUGGGCACUCUAGCGAGACUGCCGGUAAUAAACCGGAGGAAGGUGGGGAUGACGUCAAAUCAUCAUGCCCCUUAUGACCUGGGCUACACACGUGCUACAAUGGUUGGUACAACGAGUCGCGAGUCGGUGACGGCAAGCAAAUCUCUUAAAGCCAAUCUCAGUUCGGAUUGUAGGCUGCAACUCGCCUACAUGAAGUCGGAAUCGCUAGUAAUCGCGGAUCA